AUGAACGCUGGCGGCGUGCCUAAUACAUGCAAGUCGAGCGCACAGAUGAGGAGCUUGCUCCUCUGACGUUAGCGGCGGACGGGUGAGUAACACGUGGAUAACCUACCUAUAAGACUGGGAUAACUUCGGGAAACCGGAGCUAAUACCGGAUAAUAUAUUGAACCGCAUGGUUCAAUAGUGAAAGACGGUUUUGCUGUCACUUAUAGAUGGAUCCGCGCCGCAUUAGCUAGUUGGUAAGGUAACGGCUUACCAAGGCGACGAUGCGUAGCCGACCUGAGAGGGUGAUCGGCCACACUGGAACUGAGACACGGUCCAGACUCCUACGGGAGGCAGCAGUAGGGAAUCUUCCGCAAUGGGCGAAAGCUUGACGGAGCAACGCCGCGUGAGUGAUGAAGGUCUUCGGAUCGUAAAACUCUGUUAUUAGGGAAGAACAAAUGUGUAAGUAACUAUGCACGUCUUGACGGUACCUAAUCAGAAAGCCACGGCUAACUACGUG
rnacentral:rRNA from 1 species